rnacentral:rRNA from 1 species
UACGAAGGGGGGCUAGCGUUGCUCGGAAUCACUGGGCGUAAAGCGCACGUAGGCGGAUCUUUUAAGUCAGGGGUGAAAUCCCAAGGCUCAACCUUGGAACUGCCUUUGAUACUGGGGAUCUCGAGUCCGGAAGAGGUGAGUGGAACUGCGAGUGUAGAGGUGAAAUUCGUAGAUAUUCGCAAGAACACCAGUGGCGAAGGCGGCUCACUGGUCCGGUACUGACGCUGAGGUGCGAAAGCGUGGGGAGCAAACAGGG